GUAAACGAUGUCGACUUGGAGGUUGUUCCCUUGAGGAGUGGCUUCCGGAGCUAACGCGUUAAGUCGACCGCUGGGGAGUACGGCCGCAAGGUUAAAACUCAAAUGAAUUGACGGGGGCCCGCACAAGCGGUGGAGCAUGUGGUUUAAUUCGAUGCAACGCGAAGAACCUUACCUACUCUUGACAUCCACGGAAUUUGGCAGAGAUGCCUUAGUGCCUUCGGGAACCGUGAGACAGGUGCUGCAUGGCUGUCGUCAGCUCGUGUUGUGAAAUGUUGGGUUAAGUCCCGCAACGAGCGCAACCCUUAUCCUUUGUUGCCAGCGAUUCGGUCGGGAACUCAAAGGAGACUGCCGGUGAUAAACCGGAGGAAGGUGGGGAUGACGUCAAGUCAUCAUGGCCCUUACGAGUAGGGCUACACACGUGCUACAAUGGCGCAUACAAAGAGAAGCGACCUCGCGAGAGCAAGCGGACCUCACAAAGUGCGUCGUAGUCCGGAUCGGAGUCUGCAACUCGACUCCGUGAAGUCGGAAUCGCUAGUAAUCGUGGAUCAGAAUGCCACGGUGAAUACGUUCCCGGGCCUUGUACACACCGCCCGUCACACCAUGGGAGUGGGUUGCAAAAGAAGUAGGUAGCUUAACCUUCGGGAGGGCGCUUACCACUUUGUGAUUCAUGACUGGGGUGAAGUCGUAACAAGGUAACCAAGGGCGAAUUCUG
rnacentral:rRNA from 1 species